rnacentral:miRNA from 1 species
UGCCCCAUCAUCAGCCUCCCCAGU